rnacentral:rRNA from 1 species
GACGAACGCUGGCGGCGUGCUUAACACAUGCAAGUCUAACGGAAAGGCCCUGCUUUUGUGGGGUGCUCGAGUGGCGAACGGGUGAGUAACACGUGAGUAACCUGCCCUUGACUUUGGGAUAACUUCAGGAAACUGGGGCUAAUACCGGAUAUGAGCUCCUGCUGCAUGGUGGGGGUUGGAAAGUUUCGGCGGUUGGGGAUGGACUCGCGGCUUAUCAGCUUGUUGGUGGGGUAGUGGCUUACCAAGGCUUUGACGGGUAGCCGGCCUGAGAGGGUGACCGGCCACAUUGGGACUGAGAUACGGCCCAGACUCCUACGGGAGGCAGCAGUGGGGAAUAUUGCACAAUGGGCGGAAGCCUGAUGCAGCAACGCCGCGUGCGGGAUGACGGCCUUCGGGUUGUAAACCGCUUUCGCCUGUGACGAAGCGUGAGUGACGGUAAUGGGUAAAGAAGCACCGGCUAACUACGUG